CCGGAGCCGAGGAGAAGAGCGGGAGACCGGAGGGUAACACUCAGCUCUGCACAAAUGAGUUGUGAAUGUUGCUGCAACAAAUAUGACUUGGCACUUGAUGGCAGCUGAAGCCCCACAAAACAUGAUC